UACAGAGGUCUCAAGCGUUGUUCGGAUUCAUUGGGCGUAAAGGGUGCGUAGGCGGCGCGGUAAGUCGGGUGUGAAAUCUCGGAGCUUAACUCCGAAACUGCACUGGAUACUGCUCUGCUAGAGGACUGGAGAGGAGACUGGAAUUCACGGUGUAGCAGUGAAAUGCGUAGAUAUCGUGAGGAAGACCAGUGGCGAAGGCGGGUCUCUGGACAGUUCCUGACGCUGAGGCGCGAAGGCCAGGGGAGCAAACGGG
rnacentral:rRNA from 1 species